GGCUGAGUAAAGAAAUGAGACAGCAAACUAAAUGUAAAUGGUGUACCUGCAAAGCCUGGUACACUUUGGGUAGAAACUGCGACUUAUCAUGACGCCAUUUCACUUGAUCCAACUGGGAAAACCCCUGUUCAAAGUCAAAACAAAAGAGUUGUCACGCAUAAGAACAAACAGUUGAAGCGCGCUUUGUUUAUCCCCACGUCUACUUAUACCUGCCUUGGUGGUUUUCUUUGGCACGCAGAUAUCCCUCCACAAGCCCGUGAUGGCCGCCACUCCGCCUCUGCUCGUCUUCCUUCUCCUUGCCUUAGUAGUGCUCUCUCCCCG
rnacentral:lncRNA from 1 species